UGGGGAAUCUUGCGCAAUGGGCGAAAGCCUGACGCAGCCAUGCCGCGUGAAUGAUGAAGGUCUUAGGAUUGUAAAAUUCUUUCACCGGGGACGAUAAUGACGGUACCCGGAGAAGAAGCCCCGGCUAACUUCGUGCCAGCAGCCGCGGUAAUACGAAGGGGGCUAGCGUUGCUCGGAAUUACUGGGCGUAAAGGGAGCGUAGGCGGAUAGUUAAGUUGGGGGUGAAAGCCCGGGGCUCAACCUCGGAAUUGCCUUCAAUACUGGCUAUCUUGAGUAUGGGAGAGGUGUGUGGAACUCCGAGUGUAGAGGUGAAAUUCGUAGAUAUUCGGAAGAACACCAGUGGCGAAGGCGACACACUGGCCCAUUACUGACGCUGAGGCUCGAAAGCGUGGGGAGCAAACAGGAUUAGAUACCCGGGUAGUCC
rnacentral:rRNA from 1 species